GCAGCCUGAUCCAGCCAUGCCGCGUGCAGGAUGACGGUCCUAUGGAUUGUAAACUGCUUUUGUACAGGAAGAAACCCUUUCACGUGUGGAAGAUUGACGGUACUGUAAGAAUAAGGAUCGGCUAACUCCGUGCCAGCAGCCGCGGUAAUACGGAGGAUCCAAGCGUUAUCCGGAAUCAUUGGGUUUAAAGGGUCCGUAGGCGGUCUGGUAAGUCAGUGGUGAAAGCCCAUCGCUCAACGGUGGAACGGCCAUUGAUACUGCCAGACUUGAAUUACUAGGAAGCAACUAGAAUAUGUAGUGUAGCGGUGAAAUGCUUAGAUAUUACAUGGAAUACCAAUUGCGAAGGCAGGUUGCUACUAGUUGAUUGACGCUGAUGGACGAAAGCGUGGGUAGCGAACAGGAUUAGAUACCCUGGUAGUCCACGCCGUAAACGAUGGAUACUAGCUGUUGGGAGCAAUCUCAGUGGCUAAGCGAAAGUGAUAAGUAUCCCACCUGGGGAGUACGUUCGCAAGAAUGAAACUCAAAGGAAUUGACGGGGGCCCGCACAAGCGGUGGAGCAUGUGGUUUAAUUCGAUGAUACGCGAGGAACCUUACCAAGGCUUAAAUGUAGAUUGACCGGUUUGGAAACAGAUCUUUC
rnacentral:rRNA from 1 species